GGUCUUCUUCCUCCACUAUGUUUGCUUUGAUCAGGAGCAACUCCAUCUCAUUAUGAUACUCAUCAACAGAGUUUGAUCCCUGGGUUAAUCUUUGCAACUGAUGAUGGAGAUCUCUAUGGUAAUAAGUAGGCACAUAUUUCUUCCUCAUGAUUCGCUUCAUUUCUUUCCAACUAGCAAUGGGUAACUCUCUAUUCCUUUUCCUAGAUUUUAUAAGCUCAUCCCACCAUAUUAGUGCAUAGUCUGAAAACUCAAGGGCAACAAGUUUUACCUUCUUAUCAUCGGAAUAGUUUUGACAGUUAAAAACC
rnacentral:lncRNA from 1 species